ensembl:lncRNA
AACGUUACCCUGCGCGGCACACAGUCUGCAGAGGACCACCACUGUGUCCCUAAAAGACCAGGGUUUGGAAAACAUUCUGGCUAAAUGUGAGAGAUUGUUGGCACUUCAAACACAGCCGUUAAAUUAUGGAGAGUUGAGAGCAAAGUGCAGGAGGACAGAAGGAAGAGUCGCUAGUUCAACAGGUUCCAACAAGUGGAAUUCUGCCUCCAAGAUGAUCAAAUGUGUAGUUUUGUGUUUUAAAAUAACAUUAACAAUUAAACAACAGGGUCUAAAAUACACCCUUUCUAAAGUGAUUGUUUUUUUUAAAUAUUAUAUUCAGUCUUUAGAAGAAAAACAUUCAUUAAACGAGAUUAAUGAAUUUCAAAAUGUGCGAUUAUUUUAUUUUUUUAAUCUAAUGACAGCCCUAAUCUUAAUGAUUUACCAACCCUGCACUUGGAAAAUGCAACAUAUACUCAAAAAGCCCGCCAUCGCUCUCAUUUUCCUCUUGUUACAUAGUCUUUCAGACUAAACUUUAAAAAGUCUUAAAAAAGAAGUUAAAAUAAACAUUAAGUGCCACCACGGCAGUGCACAAGUUUUGAUACAAAACCAUGACAAUUUGCUCCUUUUUCACCUGAGGAAGGAACAGACCCUUUGUGAGACCCUUCCAGCUCCCUUCCCACUCGCUUGAUGUGUGAUUUAGCAGUUUCAUGCGUUCCCCAUGCGUUCCCCUUCAAGAAUAGGUGGAAUAAAAAUGUUCCGUGGGUCGUGUUGCUGAUGAGACCAGCCUAAAAGAUGAGGCAAUGACGCUACCUGAUGUAUUAAAAAGGGACUCCGAGGGGUCACGGCCACUCGUCUUUAAGUGUUUAACUCAGAGUGACCAUGUGGCAAUUAAUCUUGCCAGUACACCGUUGCAAAUCUCAAUAACAUUUAGUAAAUAUUGAAUGGUUCAUUUUCAAAUCAAUGUCACACGAUUUCAGAAGGAGCUCCAUCAGCAUUGUUAUUUCCAAGUGUCCACGUCUGAAAACACAACACUGAAUCUCUGGAUCUAACCUGCCCUCUCUCUACACACCACUAAUCAAAUUUGGCUUCCUGUUCCUUUUACCAAUUCUCCAAUUACGCCACUGUAGUGGAACCGCAGCUGAGUCGGCUGGAAUAUUACACACCAAGAGUGUGUGAGGCAGAGAGUUUUGUUCGUUUUUUUCUUUUUUCAAGGAAAUGUCUUUUGUAUUGUCGGAAUGUGCGUGCGCGUAUGCAGUACAAGGCGAAUGGUAAAUUUGGAGAAUGUAGUGUUCCUCUUUCGUCUUACCUUUUCAUCUCUUCCCUCCUCUGCUUCAGGACUUGUUGGUCAUUGCCUGGUUUCUUAAUUCCUUUACACGUCGAACACCUUCCUUUCUCCUCCCCAGAGAUCUUUCUUUACUCCUCCCUUUCCAUAUCUACUUCUCCAGGCUGUUCCCACUAAGCAGGACACAUCUGCAAGCUUAAUCUGAUUCUGGAAGAAGCUCUGUCCACACCAAAGCCUCUGAACAAUAGCUCACCUCUUUGCUUUUUAGAAGAUGAUGUGUUGAUCACAGCCAACAUCUGUUACUCAAAGGAACACACAGACUCUUCUUUGUUCAUAGCUCAUUGGAGCUGCUUUAAGCUCCCCUCCUGCUCUUUGUAAAUCGACAAUGUUGUGUUUUUAAAAUGUUAAAAUGUACUGUAAACGCAUAGAUGUGUCACGGGGGAAGCUCUUGAGGAGGACUCGGACGCAGAGUUGAAGUUCAAGCGGACGCUUUUAUUGUAAAAAAAAAAAACCCACAGGGAAGUCCCUGAGAACAAAAAACUUUUCCGAAGAGCGAUAAACGGGGAAAUGCUCUCGCAAAACUGAGAGAGCUGAAUAGUUACCAAAAGAGAAAACAAAAUCUCUCUUACAGAGGAAAUAACAAAACAAUCAAUCAAAAAAAGGCUCUAAACUAAAUCAAGGAGCUGUGGAGCCAAAAACGGCCCAAAGCCAACUAAGGAGACCACAAGGUGGCUAGAUACAAACAAAACUGUGACCUGGGCUUAAUGCUUUCCUGAGGCGGGUGUGCAAGGCGAAAGGACUUGACACACUGGCACAGGACAAGGGGAGACGCAGACUAUAAGUACACAUGAGGGAAGUGUGGGAACAGGUGGACACGAUCAGGAAUCAGGGAAGACCACCAGACUGGUGACACAUGAGGGAGGGCAAGGAACCUGGAACGAGAUAAAUAAAAAAUAAAACAAAAGUCAUAAAAGAAACGUGGAGACAGGACAAAAACCCACCUUGACAUAAAGGUGUGAUAAGAUAAGAUUUAUGCAUUCGUGUCACUUUAAAAACAACAAAAUAUUGUCAUAGUAUAUAGGUGGAGGCUAGUUGGCUUUUGCCUCUUCCUGCACAGUGAUAUUGCUUCCUGUCAUGUCUGUUUACUUAUUCUUUUGCAUUACCUGAAUUGUGCAAAUGAAAAAAAUUCAAAAAGCUCAAUAGAUCCAUGGUACAGAAACUUGGUUGUGACUAAUAGAACUAUUAGUUGCCUCAGCAUUACAAUACGCAGACGAGACAGAGAGGUAGAGGGAGUCCAAUAUAGAUGAAGAGAGCACCACACAACGUCAAGUGGAACCGCUUGAUUUAGUCCUUUUGUCUCUUUUUGUAGGCAAAGUGAGCACAGUGAUUGGGAAGGCAGUAUUUUCCACUCAUCCGAUUACUGUUAUGCUCUCCCUCUCUCUCCAAAGUUUUUCUUCUUCUUUUCAAUCAAAUUCUCUCUAAUUAUUAUCAUUACUGCUUUUUCAUGUCUCAGUUCUUGGAAUCCUCAUCUCCAAUUAAAAUGUCCAACAGGAGGAAUGUAUGCUCUCAUACACACAGGUGUGCACACACACACACUCUCCAAAUGACUGCAGUCUCUUUGGGCUAAUUACAGCCGAGGGCGCUGAGAUACCAGAGAAUGGAAUGUGUCCACCGUGUCCAUCACUAAGCAUUCUACUUUUUAUUCUAAUAGUUUAUUCUAAUAAGAACAACACUGAAAUGAGCUAAGCUAGAGUGCACUUAAGGGGCAGGAUGCUCACAUAUACACACACAUACCUACAUAUAGACAGCACGACCUUACACUCUGUAGUACACAGUACUUGAGACCUCUUCUUGUGUAUUUUAUGUAGCAACUCUUCCUGCUGUCCUUGUUCAGUUUGCUGUGCUCUCAACUCUCCAGCAUUUGACCGGCUGUGUUUGAAGUGCCCAAAAACCUCCCGACUUUUAGCCUGGACGUUUUCCAAACCACUUUCUUUUAGGGCUACAUUGUUGGUCCUCUGCAGACCGUGUGCCGUGCAGGGUAGAUUUUGAGAUGGAAGUAGCCCAGCAGCUAGCUUAAUCUAGCAGUGCGUAAAGUGGUUCGUUUGCCACUCAUCCCCCUUCGUGGAGUAUUUCCUCUGCAGAGUUCUUCGCUGUAUGUAUGUUUAUUUUACUUCCAACGCAAAAACCUUCAACUAACGUUAACCGUCACGGUCUCUCCUGUCUGACUGCAGCCAGCGGGCGUUUCAUUUCUGGGGUCAACUUGUUGUUUACGUUGCAACAAAGUUGCAUUAACGGCAUUAAAAUAUUUCAUUGCAUUAAUUUCGGCCCCAUUAAUCGCAUAGAUUGACACGUUCAUUUUGACAGCCCUAAUGAUUAAUGUUAUAAAAUGCUGAUAAAGAAUAUUCCAUUGGAAAUUGUAGUUCCCUUGUAGUUUAAAUUUCAUCAUCAUACCCAGAACAAGUCAAAGUGACUGAAAGACACUGAACACAGGUUCAUAUUACAUUACAUGUCAUUUAGCUGAUGCUCAUACGUGCACAUGCAUAGUUUCUCUGCACAAAAAAUACUUAACACAAACCCAAGCACCAAAUCACAUGAGCAGUGACCUUCUGUCAUUCUGCACCACAAAAACACACACACACACACACACACACACACACACCACUGAUUGUGUGUCUGUGCUGCAGAAAUUAUCUAGCCCAGUUUUUCUAUUAGAGGAGCAGCUGACUAAUCCCUGUUUUUGUCUGUUUUUGUCCAUGUCUGUGUGUGCGCGUCUCCAGUGUGUACUGCUUAUUUUCUUUACUGUUUGCUGUAAAUGUUGUGAAGCAGCAGAGCCAGAUAUUUGUAAACCACUCCGGGAAAUGUAAUGAAUAUUGCCCCAUUGUCUCGGUCCAAAUCACUAAAAAAACACCACAAGGAAGCAGGAGAGAAAACACUGGCAGGGGUUGGAAAGGAUGCUCCUGUCCCUAUAUUUAAUAAACCAAUUGGGAAUUAACAAGAACUCUGGUUUCAGCAAUGCCUUGAUUGGUCGGUAAAGAAUAUGUUUCUCCACGUCAAUGGCACCAUUAAAUAUACAGAAACAGCAUAGAAACUGACAUUCUAUCCAAGUGCUGCUGCAACAUCCAUGACCACUCAUUACUUCACAUAAAACAGCACAAACAACCAGUUUAAUGAUUUACUGCUUUCAAUUUCGUGACAGAGAGCAAAAACCCAAAGCCAGGAUUCAGAAUCUCCAAAUGCCCCAAGUGAGGCGUAAGAUUUAGUAUCUGGUGAUUAAAAUGUGAUGUAACACUGAAGCCAAGUCUCUUAACACCAAUCGAAAGCAUAUUUUCACCUUGAUCAUAUGCCUGUUUAUCGUGUCAGUCUCCCAAGACGCUUGGUAGGUGUGUGUAAAGGGGACUUCUUUUCAUGCGCAUAUCAACAGUGUUUUAAUAAACCCGACCAAAAUGUUAUGGAAUUCUCAGAUAUGUGAGAUAUUGUAUGUGGAUUUAUAACAUCAUCCGGAGGCGCAAGUAUUCACUCUAACGCGCGAGUCACACACCGGCUGAAGAAAUCUGGCUCACAGCAGUCUUAACAAGGAAAUACCAACAGAUCUGCUGCCCUUUUAAUUGGAACAGUUGUUGUGGAAAAAGAAACUUUCAACACUGACAGGUCUUUUUGACCGAGUGUCGCUUUAGAGUGGUAAUUCUAGUUGUUUAGAAAUCUCCUGAUUUGCAUUCCUGGGCUCUCAUUUGCAUUGAACCAUGUCGUAGCUCUGACUUGACAUGAUGAUACAGUAAACUUACCACAAUUUACUGUUUGUAAACUUGUUUAAACACACACUUUAAAAUUGCUUUUCUCAGCGCUUUUACUGUAUUUUUACUUUGAGCAAUUUUUAGGUAAUUUCCCAAAAAUCCAACUGACCAUCCAAAUAAAAUGAGGAUGAGAGAAGGGUGAAUUGAUCCUCUCCUCCCAUCAUAAUGCCAGCGCACUUGUGCUCCCUGAUUAAAACAUCCAAUAACUGAGCCAAACAGAUUGUGUGUUGCAGCCCACAUCGGUCUAAGUCAAGGCAGACUAAUCUGUUGAAAAUGGCUCCGUGCAUGUACAACUUCAUUUAAACCUCAUGGGGAAUUUACACAAGACCCAACUAAUGCACAUGUGAUUUAUUAUUUAAGCAAUAAAGGUACGAAAGGCUGUACUUUAUCGUCCAAUAAUGGAACACUCCAGGGCCGGUAAAUAGCUGCCUUUCAGCAUAAAAUAGUUGUAGCCACCAAACGUUGUGUAUCUCAUUUCAGUAGUCAAGAGAAAAAAAUAGUCCCUGUACGUGCGCGUAGACAGUAUUGGUUCCCAUAAACAAAGAUCUUAAUUGUAUCCUAUAUUGGUUUAUUUAGCGAAUACAGUAUGUUAGUAUUCAGUUUUUAAAUGUGAAUUAUUUAACUCCCCCUUUAUUGUCACAGUAACUGUCAGGGUCGGGUAGAAAGGCAGGACUCAAACGCAGACUUUAAAGCAAAAAAGACUUUAAUAGUCAUUAACUCCAACAAAGCAAAAGGCCAACGGGCAAAAAAAACACCAGGGGGGGAAACACCGCUGGCAGGAACGAGGACCAUCCAGGACAAAAGACAAUGACGCCACAAGUGACAAACAACACACACUGCUAAAAUACACUAGGGAGGUGCAGGUGAUUGGACACAGGUGGAAACAAUCCGACAAUCACAGGGGAUGAUAGGACCAGGCAGGAAGUGAAGUUACCCGGGGACACGAGUGGCAGAAAACUACAGAAUAAGACAGGAAGUGAACCACACCGUGACAGUAACACACAUGUUCUUUAACCAAGGACUGUUCCAUUCAUAUUCUAGUAGCACGGCUGAGGUACUAGCUUAAAAACAGGUUAUUAAGGGGAAAUGUUGAAUCAUCUAGAAUUAAGUGCAACAUACAUUAAUAAACAUGGAGCCAGUAUGAAUAUGGCUUCUUGUGACCACUGAGGCUUAACAUUGUUGACGUUAUUAUUGGACACCAAAGAAGUUUCUAAAAAGUCCACAUCCCUCUGACAUAAAAUCGGAAAGUUAUUUUUACAAGUAUCAUCCUGUGGGGCAGUUGGACAGUUUCCUUGUCGUUUAAUUUUCCCAGUUUGCUAAUCUUGCAAACGGAAUGCAUGUCGCUGGCUCUGUCCCCCCAGGGAUCUAAACGUGAAGCUGAUGUUUUCUUUUCAGUCAUCUGUCCCUUGGGUUGAUCGGGUUAUCCACGCAGAAACUCUGUGUUUCCAAAAUAGUUUCGCCAAAAAAAAGUGUUGAUUCAAGACCCUUAAUUGCAUUAGUCGUGUGAUUGUGAGAACACAUGACGUACCAUAAUGUGUUUUGUCUGUCAAGCUGAGCAUGACCCAAUGGGAAUAUUAAAAAAGUGAUAUAUAUGAUGAAGAAAUGAUAGACGCAAUUUGCUUUUUUUGGCACAUUUGAGCACAUUUGAGUGUUAUGUGCGCUUCACUCUGACCUGAAUCACACACUCCGGUUCGUACGCAGGACACUUCAAGUUGUUAUUAUAACAACUGGCCGUGAUUCAGUUGAUACACGGUCAGAGACACACAUGACCUUUGUUUCUAGAUCAGUGGUCAGCCACGUGUGGGGGGGUAAUGGAGAUGUUUACAGUAUUAAAGCAGUGGAACCUGGAGGACUGAUGCGCGUGCACAGGUUGCUCAUGGUUGUUUCUCCCAGGGGAAAUCCAUCACUGCUCAGAGUUGGUUGACAUGCAAACAGUUUGAGUCCGAAGCUUGGGAGGCACAACAUGAAAUAAUAUUUCUCCCUGGAUCUUGCUUCAUAUCUCUCCUCUGCUAUCUUCAUUUUUUGGAGAGUACAGAGAGUUUCCCUUAUAGUGAUUAUUGCGGUUAGUUUGCAGACUGUUCAGACAAAUCAUCAAUCUUGACACCUUAUAAUCAUACAAUGGUUCCAAAUGUCUUAGGAAAGGUUUGCUUGUUACUUUUUAGGAAGUUUCCUAACAGUGUUAGAAGAACUUAAAUCGUGUUCUGUCUUAGUCAGUUAUUCAAGCAAUAAUUUGUACCCACAGAGGUAGUGACCUUGCGUGCAACACUGAACCGAUAUCGUGUUCCAUGCAUUGGGUUUUUAACCCUUCUGUACAGAAAGUAAAGAUGAUUGUACGAUAGUCCACAUUGCUCGGUUUUAGUAUGUGUUAUUUAAAGUUCAACCCAGAGACAGGCCUCUGAGCAGAAACUUGAAGCACAAUCUUUUGUAUCUGCUUCAACUUUGUUCCUACUUGCAAGCAUCCAAUAUCCAGUUAAUGAUUUUACAACUGGUCUUGAGCAAUCUGUUUCUAACACCAAGGGAUCAGUCACUGCUGUGUCCAGACAACAGAACUACUUGGUUUGGUCUGGGAAACGAUGGUGGUUUGGUUUGAAGUCACUGAGGAAACGCCCUGUGUUGCAGCCUUUUGAAACGUCUAGGUGAGGCCGUAACACAGGCGAGAAAUAAGAGUCCACAUUACCUACUAGAAAUGAACAGAAACAAUACUGUACUCCCUAUCUAGCAACAAAACAGGAGAAAACCCUAACCCUAACCCAGAGAACCCCUUACAAAAAUUGCUGACUGUGUGUCUCGGCCACUUGGCGACACAGCCAACCUGGCGAGUGAAAGAAGAGAGUUGUGAAUGGCCAAGGAGGAGUUAAUAUAGGCGUCGCUAAUCGGCUGAUCACAGUUUCACUCAUCAGCGGAUGGAGAGGCGCGGCCGGUGUGAAACACUCCUAGAGCUUUCUCCUAAAACACAAAGAGACAUCAUCAAGUCAAGGGAUGUAACACCCUUACUUGAGGGGAUUUAUUAGCAGGAAUGGAAUACAAAAUUCAAUUAAGUGUAUACUGAUAAGCAAUGCAUUAGUGUACACUAGUUCUUUUUUCCCAGCUUGGGGUUAUCCCUUUUAAUUUUUACCGUUACCUAAAGAUAACCAAGUUUCUUCAUUUCUAGUUCUAGAAUUGCGAAACUGUAGUAACAGUGGAAAAAAAUGUUUAGUCCAUAACGAUGUCCGACGUGUGCUGCUCCUCAGGUAUUGUUGCUAUUUCAGGGUGGUUUCUGUGAGGCAAACAGCAUUACCACGGUUCUGUGCUUGGCGGCUUGUGCUCUGCGAAAUGGAGUAGAGGGGGCGGAGGUGGUGUCAGUUGGUUGAAAUCUGUAAUUACACAGCCUGAUGUCAGAAAAUCCUGUCUUGAAUCUCUGAAGGCUGCUUCCCCUCCAUUUGAUUUUGGACUCGGGAAAGGUUUUCAGCUCGCCACUAGCUAACGCAAGAAGGCCAACACUUGGCCGUCUCUGUGCUUUUCCAUUUGCAUUUACUCCACACAGACACGGCACUCACCCACACACUCCAGAGCUGACAGAGCGCCUUUAAUGUGAAUGUGACCCAGUAAAAUGAAAUAAAAGAGGCCUUUGGAGGGAAGAGCAGAGACGAGGAGCGGAUCCUCCGCUGCCACCGUUCUGCUGAUUUGCCACCAUCUCUUUUUUAUCUCUCACUACGGACCUAUUCCUCCUUGUCCACCUCAUGUCCUGCCUCUCUCUUCUUCUUCCGUCUUCCUUCUAAACAUAAGAAAAGGUUUCUGGAUGUGCUGUGAUAAGAGGCGCUGUCCCUUGGUGGUGGCAUGCAAAAAAUAAAAACGUACCCUCGUCCGAGAAGAGGACAGCAGCAGCCCAAGCUCACAAAGUUACAGUAUUUUUUCAAAAUAAUUGAGUAAGAUAAACAAAAAGUACAUUCAUUUCAGAAGUAAAAUGAAUAGUACCCUUUCCCACUAUUAUAAUUUAAAUGCAAUUUACAUCAAUGUACAUUGUAACCAUGCAGUCUUUUGAAACGCAGAUUAAACACAAUAAACAAGUUAAACCGUUAUAAUGAAGAAAUAGGCGUAGUACUUUUGACCUCUUACUGUAGUUUUUUUCCACUAACAUACUGGUCAAAACGGAAAAUAUAGUUAACAAAAUGUUCAGUGUGCAGUCAAGAAGAAAAUAUUGUACAUAGCUGUAAACAUAAUUUUUUUCAAGUUAGCUAAAUUGAGAUCCAGAAUCACUCUGAAUGUAAAAAUACACAUUAAUAUAAAACUAACAUGAUUUACCUUAUAAUUAUAAAGAAAAUUGCUAAAUUUUUAGAAUAAACCUUAAUACUACUCAUGUAACUAUUGAUUGUUUUUCCUUUAAAAUCUAAUCUGAAAUUGACCAAAAGUAAUCUCGUGAAGGAUUUUGAAGGAAAUUGGCUCAUGUAUGGUAUUUUGAGAGGCUUUAAUUUUGAAAUGGUACAUCAGAAUGUCCUGCUUAUCUCUAAGUGACACCUUGGGGAUGCUAUCAACUUGAAGUCAUAGUUUGCUUUUAAAUCUAAUCUGAAAUUGACCAAAGUAGACUCGUGAAAAAGUUUGGUUUUAGUGUCAUCUUGACCUGUUCACCACUUACAUCAUUUCCUACGGAAUCUUUCUAGCAAUAGCAGCACAUAUAAUAUUUAAGAGUCAGAGUGUAAAGUAGAUUUAGCAUGGGUGUCUGCUCGUAAAAUGCCACCUUAAAACGCACAGUGAGCCCCAUGUAAUAACAAUGUACGAGUGAUUUAGCAGAAACCUGUGAUCUUAGAAUAAGAAAAGGUUUUAGUUGACUGAUCUGAGUCUUAGGGGUCAAGUGCAAUUACUCUACUGUAACAUUUUUCAUUGAUUCAUUAUAUUUUUGUUACUUUGCAGCAAUUAUUAGUUGGCCGAGCCAAUAUAAAUUACACUUCGUAAUUAUGUUGACAUUAUCAUUUUUUAAUCUGCAGGUCAAAUCAAAAGCUAAUAUGAUUUCAAAUACAUUCAAAAGCGUAAUGAAAUCACCAUUAAGCUGCACGGAUCCAGAUGGAUUGAUGAUGAAUCAUUGAUCAUGCAAUCAUUAAGCAAUGUCUACAAUAUGACAAUUGAUUUACAUUUCAAUAAACAGUACAUGCUAUUGUAGAACAUAGCAAUACAAUAUCAAAAAUAAGUUCUUAAAUUAGUUGAUCACCUCCCACUGCAGUCAUUGACAGCCUUGCAGUGGAAGGAUGAUGUUGUAAUUAUGGAACCAUUUCUUAUCAGUCGUUAUUGUUCCCAAGUACUUAAGUAGGUUAUUUAUUUCUGCUCCUGAAGAUCUUUUUUUAUAAUUGUUUGGUAUGGAUGAGUGAAACAGGACUUCAUUAUGGCCCAUGUGUGGAACACUAGCUGAAUCAGACUUGGAGUACUCGUAAAGGCCUAUAUUACCCCAAAAGAAGUAGGAUAAGUAUAUCCUAAGAAUACCGAAACGUCAUUGUGUGGGUAUUCUUAAUGUUUACCCACUUCACCCUCUACCUGCUCCCGUCUUCCUUCGUUGUCCUCCUCCAUCAUUGUGACCACCCGCACAAAUCUGUACGCUGCCCCAAGCCCCCUGCCCCUAACACUCCAGUCCAUUUCAAGAAGAAGGGUACUGUUGUGUGAACAACAAAGUGACUGAAUGACUUAGUGGGAACCUGCACGGAGCCCGAGUGGUGUUAAGCGAUGAAGGUUUAACGCUAGUUUUUUACCUCGCUAAAUCAUUUUGGAAAAUCUGGUGAUUCUGGAUGAGGGGGUGUCGAUAUCAGCCUCUUUACCUGCUCCAUCUCUCUGCUCUCAUUUCCUCUUUAACCCAACCUCACCUGUCGUUUACCGUCCCUUCGUUCUUCCACUCCUAUCGUCUGUGUCAUCACAUCUACUGCCUUCAAUCAUUCUUGCAACUGUGUUCAGUUUCAGUACCUCAGGGCAGGACACCAUUGUGCUGUCUUCUUUCCCAUGUCUCCGCUACUCGCCUCUCAACCUGUCCUGUUUGUUUUCAUUGUCCCUGCCGUAGCCUUCGACAACUGAUGUUCAACCCCCACGUAUUUUCUUUGCCCUCUCUGCUCUCUGUCACCUCCCGUCAGCUGAAGGAAGGAAAGCCAGGGGGGCAGUCGAAGAGUCGAGGAUCCUGCAAGUGAAAAAACACUGAGAAAAGGUUUUAGAUCGAAGAUGCAAGGAUUGGAGAAUAGAGUUUUAGGAGGAUGCAAAGAGGGAAGGUCAAAGGAGGUCAACAAGAACCGAGAGGAAGCACAGACAAAGGGAUGAAAACGAGCCACAGACAGGAAGUGAGGAACACCAAAAAUAGAAACCUGAGAAGGAGGACAACAAAGUAUAGGCACUAUGGCCAGAAACCUCUGAUAAAAGGGAAUUUAUAUAAACUUUAUAGUUGAUUUGUGGUCAUGGUCUACAGUUACCACAUGGUAAAAUCUAUUUUAGCAUACUCCUGUGUAACUCGGGCUGUUCUUAUCUACGAUCACAGCUAUACCUACAAAAGAUGUCCCACAAAUAAAUUUCAUAUGUACACAUCAUGAAUGGUUGGAUGGGUCUAAUGGAAGCUUGUCCUUCACUCGUCGCUUGUUCCCCUGAAACAUGGCGUCAGUUGAUUUAUUAGUCAAGUGAUAUCCAUACUUUAAGUAACGCUACUUAGUUAUUUUAACCAGGACUUUUUUUUUAAUCCACCUUGACUUUACUGUGAAGACAGAAGAUGUUGAAGAGACUGUAUGCAUGUAAUUGAGUGGAAAUCAAUAGAUUUUGUUUAAGAUAUGUUACUCUUUCACAAAGUGUCUUUUGAAUUGUUUCAUUAUGUGAGAUUCAAAGACUUUAAAAAAUGAGUACUGAAGUACUGAAUCAUUUCUAAUUUUAGUGCAAAAUUUCACUCAGCAUGUACUUCAUCAAUGACGUAUCAAUAUAUCAUUUCAUCACUAUUCCAUGAAAGGAUAAUAUAUUGUUAUUACAUUUAUUGCCUGUGCCUAAACAGCAAUGGUAGAAGCUAUUUUUGUAUUUGUCUGGCAUUUAAGUUGUAUACAUUGUCAAAAUGACAGUUAAUUGACAAUUUAAAUGUUAAGGAGCAGUUAUUCAUUUUCUGUUACUGACAUUUAAAUGUCGUGUUAGUGACUAUAUUAAUUUGAGUAAUUUUCACGAGGGCUUAUUAAAGAAAGUGCUUGAAGGCACCGCAAGUGAGAAUGAAGACGGCGGCACAAAAACAGAAAAUAAAAAUACAUGAGGCAAAGCAAGCGGGGAGAUGAGAGGACAAAUGGCCAUUGAUUCGGCUCAGUGACUGCCGAUGGGGGCGGCUCCCUGGGUAACAGCUGCUUUCUGCAAGGCUGCUCAUAUUACCCAGAGGGCCGCAGAGCGGAAGCCUGUGCCGUCUCCUAUGUUCUCGGGUUGAAAUAAAAAACAGUAUAUACAGUACGUCAUGGAAAAUCUGGAAAAGUCAUGGAAAAAAUAAAAUCCCAAAAGUUUUGGACAAGUCAUGGAAAUUUGUUAUAUUUGUAUGUUCAUGUGGUUCAUUUAAGAUCUGUUUGAAAUAAUUCAUAUGGUUUUAAAAGCGAGCCGCUCAAAAUAUAAGCAGGACGCUCUCAUACUCCCAGUGCAGAUAAUUCACACCGUGGUUGUGUGAACGCACCUUUACUGAAAAGUUCGGUGGCCAUAAAAACAGUAGCGCAGAGAUCAUCCACUGUGCCGGGAAGUGUAGAUUUAACCAUAGUUAGCGACAUAUGAGUUACGACAAACAAAGACCUGCAACGAGCACGAGUUGUAAACCGAGUGUGAUGGCGUCCCUUCGGUGUUGUUUGUCAUUGAGCCGUAUUGGGCUGCAGACACGUGACUUCAUUUUCUUAAGCGAAUGGCAGGAGAACUUUUGAUUCUUUUCGUUUCGUCUUUAUUUUACGCAAGUUAAUAUACAAUUAAUAAAUUCUGUCACGGUAGAUAAACUCAACUUAAUAUUUGGUACAGAAACCUUUUUUUGCAAUUACAGACAUCAUACAUUCCCUGUAGUUAUUUACCAGGUUUGCACACACUGCAGCAGGGUACCACUCCUCCAUACAGACAGAUCUUUCAGGUUUAUUGGCUGUCGCUGGGCAACACAGACUUCCGCUCCCUCCAAAGAUUUUCUAUUGGGUCCAGGUCUGGAGACUGGCUGAGCCUCUCCAGAACCUUGCUGCUUACUGAGCCACUCCUUAGUUGCCCUGGCUGUGGGUUUCGGGUCGUUGUCAUGCUGGAAGACCCGGCCAAGACCAAUCUAGCCAGCCCAGCCUUGGAGGUCUACAAUUUUAUCCCUGAUGUCCUUACACCGGUCUCUGGUCUUGGCCAUUGUGGAGAGGUUGGAGUCUUUUUGAUUCUGUUUGAGUGUGUGGACAGGUGUCUUUUAUACAUGCAACUAGGUGCAGUUAAUACGGGUAAUGAGUGGAGAACAGGAGGGCUAAAGACAAACUAACAGGUCUGUGAGGUCUUACUGGUUGGUACGUGAUCAAAUACUUAUGUCAUGCAAUAAACUGCAAAAUAUUUUUUUCAAAGAUUAUCUGGAUUUGUUUUAGAUUCCGUCACUCACAGUUGAAGAGUACCUAUGAUAAAAAUGACAGACUUCUAUAUGCUUUAUAAGUGGGAAAACCUGCAAAAUCGGCAGGGUAUCAAAUACUUGUUCUCCCCACUGAAUAUGUACAUAUAUACUUCAUCCACAACUGUACCCCACGGGAGUUAUUUGCUUGACUACAAGCGUAAGUGCAUGUUGAAUUUUCAGCAACCCUUUCAGCCACGUCCUCCGUCCGUGUCCCCUCUCCUUCUCCUCAGAUCAAAUGAUAUCAGCUCUACUUUUUCCUGUCCUCCAUCCUUCACUUGUCCUCUCUCCUGUCUUAUCCAGUGUAGCAUGGGACAAAUAGGGCCUGUCUCCACCUCUACUCUACUAUCCUCUUAUACUCCUUCAUUUACAUUUCUUCUAUUUUUUCCAGUCCUCUUCUCUGUCCUCCUUUCUUGUCCUUUGUAGUAUUAUCUCCUUUAGCGCCUGCUUGUCUGUCCUUCGUCUUAUCUUUUAACUUUGCCUCCCCUUUUUGCCUUCUCUUCUCUUCACUUCAUCCAUCCGUUUCUUUCCAUACCAAUUUUCAGCACUUUAAUAACAUUCAUUUUAACAUACCCUUAUUGGUUUUUUUCAUUACAUUUAGUUUUAAACUAUUUUUAUACGGUUUAUGUUUUCUGUCACACACCAAUUCCCCAGUCGAAUUAGUUUUGUGUGCAAACAUGCUUGGCAAUAAACUGUUUCUAUUUGAAUUCUAACCAACAAACUCAAAUCAUUUGGAACAUUAUUUUAGCACAUUUCUUUACCCCUCACUAGUAAGAAGUGUGGAGAUGUACAACUGAAACCAUGAGUGGAUUUACAUAAACAAUGGUAGCGAUUCUCAAAUGAUUUGUUUAAAAAAGUACAUAGUUUGUCAUUCAAACAUUAGACAUAUAAUGUGUUUCUCUCUUUUUACCAUCACAAACUGAACACGUUUGGGUGUUUCUACAGUUGAUUUCAUUAAAAAAAAAAAAAGCAUCUCCAUAUUUUUUUACACAAAAGGAUCAUUUACCAAGCUCCAAAACAUUUGGGAAAAUAAUUGUUUUCCUGACACCCACUAAAUGUCUUGUAGCUCCAAGCGCGCAUCACAGCUUGUUUUGUUUUCCACUCAAAGGGGGGGUAAUUUUUUGCCUGAGUGCAGCUCCAGAUUCAGGUAAGGGGGGAGAAGAGGAGAUGUGGUACGGAUCUUAGCAGCAGAUGGAUUAAGCUGGAUGAGGCUUAGCUACUGUACGGAUGCCUACAGUUCUGGAUUUCUUCUACUUAACCGAUUAACAACACAAAUAAAUAAAAACUCAGUCACAAAUGGCCUCGAACUCUUUGACCCUCAGAACCCAGAGACAGUCUCAGGUCUUAGUUACACAGAACGAUUCGAGUAGAGGUCAUUAGAGGCACCUUAAAAUAAAUUCUUGGUAGGUGAUGGGAUGAACCGACUGUCAAUCCAACUCUUUCAGAGAUAACUUCUGUUAUAUAUAAUUUUGCUCUCCUUGCAAUACAGAGAUAUCAAUACCAGAUCUGAUAUAGCUAACGUGAGAGCCAAAAGCUUAACAAAAGUUACACAAUAUGUAUUCAUUGAUUACAUAAUUCAUGGAAAGUGGAUUAUCAGUUCAUGUUAUCCUACAACCCUCAUGGACUUGCUGACAUAAUCCAGUAAAUAGUUACAGGUGAGAGACUGUAAAGCAUAUGUGUCAAACUCAUUUUAGGUAAGGGGCCACAAACUACCUAUAGUUGAAUAAGUGAUGAUCACUUUGGUGGUAUGUUAACUAACUACCAAUAGACUGCUUAAAACUAUAAUUGUUCAGAAUGUGUAGGUUUACUAGUUAAUAAGAACAAUGUAAUUGUUCAAAAAAUCAAUAUGUUAUGUUUAAAAAUAUCUUGCCAUGUAAAAUGUGUCAACUCAAAUUUUAGAAUGCAGAUGGUUGAAAUCUAACUCACAUUUCUAGUUGUGGUCAGACAGAAGAAGACAAAAUGACUUACUGAUGAGGAGUACUAUAAUUUCAAUAAUUUCCUGCACUGUGUCCUGUGGACAUUUUCUGUUUAACUACAGCCUCCUAAAAUGAGGUGAGGCUGUGCUCUGUUGUAGUUCAUUUUAAGGGAGGAAAGCGCAUGGGUGACCCAUUUUCUCUACACUGGUUUCCUUUUAGAAGUUCACCUUGAAUCCUUCUUGUGACUGCCAACGCUCCGCCCUUUGUUCUCUCCCCGCUCUCGUCUUUGUACCAUAUGAUGGGAACACCGGGGCUGAGCAGGUCAACACGAGACAAUGCUGUUGUUGCCUUGAUCUUCUCACGGGUAGAUUAGAACACGUCUCCUUUCCCGAGUGAAACAGGAGCGCCGUGUCCCGUGUUGAUCCUCCCGUACGGGGUAACUCAAUCAGCCAAAAGUAGAGACUUUUACAAGGACACCGGAAACAGAAAAAGUAUUUACACCAGUGGCGAUGCAAAUAUGUGACAGUGAAUUCAAUUUUUGCCUUUGUCAAAGUUGAAAGAAUUAAUAAAGUGUGUCACCUUGGUCUAGACCACGGUAUCUUUGAGUUACUAAGGUGUAUGUUGCGUAUGCCUGACGCAUCUGUUUGGCACCAUGCAAGCUUUCAAUCUUUUGUGCAAAAGUCCAAAAAAAAAGAAAUUCUACUUUAUUUUCGCAUCCCAUUUGAAAGUCAUCUUGCCUAAGAAGAAGAAUAUAUAUAGUAAAAAGGCCCUGAGGUUGAGAACCAGACAAGCUGUACGGUAUGUGGCUAUAGGAUGAAAUGAAAAUGAAUAAAAAUGCACCAUUUUAAUAUUAAAUGAACGAAAAGGAUACAAAUUGUAUUUCAGCGAUAUUGAUUCGAUACCAAUGGAGGAGGAGAAACAACCAACCUUAUGGCACAUUGAGCUAAAAUCUGUGAGCCGGCGCCGUCUUAAAUGUCUUGUUUCUCCCUGUCUGCAGCUUCACUAGCAUGAGAUGCUUAUUGAUCACAUGUUUUAAAUCUAAAUGUGACACGCGCCAUUAGUUACCAAGAAACCCUUUUGAAUCUCUCAGCUCCUCAUCCAGCCUCUGCUGUCUUCUUUCAUAUCUUGGAAAAAUAAAACUAUUCAUCAUUCGUUGUUCCCUGUGGAUGCUACCACUCACACACACACACACACACACAUACACACACACACACACACACAGACACACACACCUCCUGCACUGUGGUGCGCAGCAGUAGCCGGGCGGUUCAUGCGAUGACCCCAGAACCUCCCGUACUAAACACGGAGAGACGGCCGGCUGUGAUGAGUGAACAGAUCUAGUCAAAGAAAGAAUUGUGGCGAUAGUGGUGUUUUUUUUGCCACUCCCGGUUUCACAGUUCCUUAUGAAAAUAAUAAAAGCAUGCUACUGUUUGUUGUCUGUCUCUCUGUGUCAGCCCCGGGGAUAGACUGGCACUGUCUGGGGUGAAUCCUGCCUUCACCCCGAUAUGUACAGUCGAAGCCUUGGAGGUGGUCCUCAAUCCUUUUCUAUGAAAGUAAGACCGUUGUCUCAGGCAAAGACAAAUAAUUCUUGAUUAAUGCAUUUUACAACUUUUAGGAUCUCGUGAUCACAUAUACGGUUCAUCCUGAAGAGAUCUCUUUGCCAGGUCCAUGGAUAAAAAUAUUUGAAGGGCCUCCUGGCGUCACUCAGGGCCACCGAGACUACUGUUGAUGAUCAGUAACAUUUUUACCAAAACAAACAAAAAAUAGUUUUGUUGCUUAUUUUAUUUGUUUCGAAAUUUCAUUUUUUUAAAUUUUGUAACAACUUCAUCACACCAUGCUUUUACUAAAACCAGCCAGGUGGUUUUGUUGUGUCUAUUAUGUUUUGGUUCCAUUUACUAUGCUAAUCCUGUUUUUCAUACUGUUUCGAGAGAGAGAUGCAGUUAAAAUGGACAUGGGGCCGUAAAAACAUUCCUCUUUUAACUAAUACGCUUUGAGUUAAUUGACUGUGUAGUAAAGGCAACUUUGUUAAAGCUGUGGAUACUCCCUACAUAUGAGGGUAGCAUGUGUCCCUGGGAAAUAACUGAAUGCACAUAUUUGGCUUUAUUUUGCGUUUAUUCAUGUGUCACAUUUUGCAAGACAUUGGGGGGGGGGGGUGGAGUUUGGGCAAUUUUCAUUACAUUACAUUACAUGUCAUUUAGCUGACGCUUUUAUCCAAAGCGACGUACAAUAAGUGCAUUCAACCAUAGGGUACAAACUCAGGAGAACAAGAAACAAGAAAGUGCAAUUUCCUCAAAUAAGCGAAUUUACAAUUUGCUAUAGAUGAGUGACGUCACAAGUACAAUUUAAGUGCUACAAUUUGUUAGUCUUUAGUCGAGGUAGAGUCUGAAGAGGUGUGUCUUUAGUUUGCGGCGGAAGAUGUGAAGGCUCUCUGCGGUCCUGAUGUCUUCAGAGAGCUCGUUCCACCAUUUCGGCGCAAGGACAGCGAAGAGUCGAGACCUAGUCGAGUGUUUUGCUCUCAGUGAGGGAGGGACGAGUAGUUUUGCAGAUGCAGAGCGGAGAGUGCGGGUUGGGAUGUAGGGUUUGACCAUGUCCUGGAUGUAAGCUGGACCCGAUCCAUUCACAGCAUGGUACGUGAGCACCAGUGUUUUGAACUGGAUGCGGGCGGCCACCGGUAGCCAGUGAAGAGAGCGGAGGAGUGGAGUAGUGUGGGAGAAUUUCGGAAGGUUGAAGACCAGUCGAGCUUAUUUUCAUCAAAUAACCAGAAGAAUUAUCCCCAAAGAUACAGUGUCACACUGUUCAAGGAUUCAUAGCCUUAUCACUCUCAUUCAUGCAGAAUAAAUCAAGGAAUCCUUUAUAAAAAACAUUGUACAUUCAAUCCCUAAAGCGGGAUCACUUAUUUAUAGUGACUACGGCAGUGAAGAGAGACACCACCCUCAGAACAGACAAUCUAUUCAUUGUUUUCAUCUGAACUUUGAUUUAGUGUCACACAUACGCUGUAUGCAGCUCACGUACUGCCAUCAUUUAUACAGUGCAGCGUAUUACAUUUAUUUUCCAGGUUGAAAGAGAGAGUAUCAAAACCAAAAUAAUGUAUUAUGUAAUAAACCACAGAUUUGAUUCUACUCUCAUUUCUCCUGUAAUGUCUGCAUUAUUACUGUAUCCAGAGAUAUUCAUGAAGCCAGAGAGCAAACUAAUGGAUAGAUGGAAAGUUCAAGGACUGCAGAUGCGUGGGCAUUAUUCAGAUAGUAAAAGGAUUUACAGAGGCCCAUCUUUACAAAGUGAAACUGGGAUUUACCAAACACUUUUUGUAUGAACAACACCUUCAUUUCGACUGUGUGUUUUGCAUGUGUGUGUGUGUGUGUGUGUGCAGUCCCAGACCUCUCAGUGGUCCUCUGCCAGUUGUUUGUGUGCACACUAUGUUGAGCCCCAAUUCAAUCUAGACUGAGCUUCUAUUCCUGAUAGCCGCUCGCUGCUCAGAGAGCCAACCGAAUGUGAUCCGGCCUCCGGCUGUCUCUGAUCUGCUCCAUGCACACACACAUGCACGUGUGCAACCACAUAGGAACGCUUGAAUGCAUGGGUCUGAGUCACACACGCACAUACAUACAGAGUCGGACACUAAUAUAUAUUCAUACCCACUCCAAGAGUGGCAUAUGCGUAGAAAGAUGAAGAGUGUGUCUGUGUGUGUGUGCAUGUGAGAGAGAACGACAAAGUAAAAAAAGACAUUGAAAGAGAAAGCUUUGGAGCUGGAAAGCGGGCUGGUCAGAGAGACAAUUUCCAAUUUGAAGUCCUUUGAAUCAUUCAUGAAGAGGAGAAGGCAGAAAUCAACACAGAAUCAAUCGGACACGGGCACACACACACUCAUGAAUGCAUGGGUAACCUUAAGACACACCCAAGGCAGACACCACUUACCCUGACACCCACACACAAAAGGGACACACACACACAUACACACUCACAGAGGGCACUCAGACCAACCAACACAGACACGUUCCAUUCUCUCCCACUGCAGCGCUGUUGUGGGGACACUGCGGCCGGGGGUGGGUGUCAGCAGACCGCCUGUCAUGGAGGCCCAGUGUUGGCUGACGGAGAGAGACAAUGGAAUUUACUUCCCAAGUCAGGGAGAGGGGGAGAAAGUAGGAGGGUGUCAACAGUCAUAGACAGGAGGCGAUGAAGAGAAGAAGGAUGCUGUGAGAGAUAAAAGGGAAGCGGCAGAGAGGAGCCACCGAGCGUUCAGUGAAGUUUGUGUGUGUGUCGAAUCUGUACAUUUUUUACUUGGCCAGGCUGGAAGACCGUGUGAGGAACAAGAGGAUGGGGCAACCCUGGGCACAUGGUGGCAUUAUUAGGGAUACCACAGCAACAAUACCCCAUGUUAUAGAAAAUGCAGUAACACAGAACAUCAUUGCAUUGACUUCUUCCUUCAACAUUGACCUUGAGCAUUGUUCACAGUUUUCUUGUGCAGAUCACUUUCAUCUAAACCGGUUUGGGCAAAUCGCAUAAACAGUUGGCUUGUUCGCAACCUGCCUGAUUAUCUGCCUGCUCAGGGAUAAAGAAAUUUACAUCAAAAUGUAUUGAGCUAUAUAACGUACACAACGCUUUGGUGAACCCCACAAAAAGGAAGAACAGUCACAGAAUGUGUUUAUCGAGCGGACAGGACUGCGGAAUGCGGGAACAGAAAAGGUGGAGGAGUGUGUACAUACCUAAACAAUGGCUGGUGCACAUCUACAGACAUUUUAAGAGCACACUGCUCCCCGGACAUAGAAUAUCUGGCUCUAAAAAGCAGACUGAGUUUACUGCUAUCUUAAUCACAGCUGUUUACAUACCACCACAUGCUAACGCUAAGUUAGCCCUGGAGGAGUUGCGUGACGCCAUCAACAGCCAGCUGAAUGCACACCCAGAGGGAGCUGUGAUCAUACUUUACAAAAAUGUAAAGCUUUUAACCACAACCAGAAACAUUCUUGAUCAGAUGUAUUAUUAUUUACCUUGGCCUUUCAGACCACAUCUCACUGAAAAUGACCCCAUCGUAUAAAACCCUAAUGUCAUUGAUGGAAUUAAUUAGAUACUUUCUUCAAAACACUGGCUAUCCACUAGCCCAGACAGCAUACUGGCAUGAUUAGCAUGUUAGCAUUGAUGCUAGCUUGAUAUUCUAAAAUCACUAUAAGAACUUUGAGUAUUUUAAUACAAAAUGACUCAAAUACAAAUUGCAAUACUCAAGUGUAUGUAUUUCAAAUACAAGUAAGAAAUACUGUCCAUCUCUGUGCUUGCUCAUGAUCGGGGGUGACUUUAGCCCAGUGGGAGAGUAGGGUCAUCCUUCAAUCAGGGGAUCGGUGGUUUGACCCCAAGCUCGGGUCCAUGCCCAACUCCUUGGGCAACUCACACAACUCCAAAUAGCUCCCUUGAGCAGUGCCUGCGCCGAGUGAAUGGUUGUGAAUGUUAGUACUUAAGGGGGCCCAUCAUCGUGUGAAUGACCACAUGGAUUGUUAAAGUCCAUUUACCAUUGACCACAGUUCUUGAGCCCAUACCAUGGGUUUGUUUGAGCAUUCAUCUCUGCUACUGCUCACCAUAAGUGGUCUUUCUCAAUAUUUCAUACUCUGCCAGUUGCACCGUGGAUGCAUUUCCAUUUGUGCGUCCCCCAUGGAAGAUAAAAGGAUUUUCCAUUAACAUUGUUUCAUGCUGAGCCACAUGGGAAAAGAGCACAUCUACUUUUACACAGAACCUGGAAGAUUUCAUUUUCAGGAACUGCCUGACACCGGGCAGUAAUACUGCCGGCUUUCAUCAGUGGGUCAUGGUCUCAAUAACCAUUGUGUUACCUCAUUCGGAGAUAGAUAAUGGCUUAACCAAAAUGUAUUUAAAUAGAAAUCUCAAUUAAAUGUAUUUUAAAAGCAUCAGAAUAUACUACACCUGUGUUGUGAUCACUGAUUUAAUGGGGAAGUGCGCUUAAUGUAGAAGCGGGUGUUUGGAGGGGCUGUGUGGGUCAUUCAACAAGUUCAUUGUAGAUAUUUUUACACCUAUUCACAUAUUAAACUGAUAUUAUAAUUGCAUGAUUAAGUCAUUCUGUUUAAAUACUCACGUUGCUUUAGAGCAUGGAAGUCGAAGCAUUUUGACCUGACCUGCCACCAUCGUUACAGUUAUAUAUUUGAGUUUUGCUUUUUUGGAGCUACUAAAGCUAAGUUCCCAACAGAGCAACUCCACCUUGAGACUAAACACGGUGAGGUCAGAGAGGGGUGGGGGUAGUGAGCCAAGAGGAGGAAGCAGCUAAUAAGAGGCCUAAUGAUCCAACACGAUCCUGUCUCCCUAGUAUCGCCAUUCAACCUCUGCAGCUCAUCCAGAAUGCAGCAGCUCGACUGGUCUUUAACCCUCUGAAAUUAUCCCACACUACUCCACUCCUCCGCUCUCUUCACUGGCUACCGGUGGCUGCCCGCAUCCAGUUCAAAACAUUGGUGCUCACGUACCAUGCUGUGAAUGGAUCGGGUCCAGUCUACAUCCAGGACAUGAUCAAACCCCACACCCCAACCCCACACUGCUUGUUCCUCCUCACUGAGAGCAAAACACUAGACUAGAUCUCGACUCUUUACUGUCCUUGCUCCGAAAUGGUGGAACGAGCUCUCUGAUGACAUCAGGACCGCAGAGAGCCUUCACAUCUUCUGGCGCAAACUAAAGACAAACCUCUUCUGACUCUACCUUGACUAAAAACACUAAACAAAUUUUUGUACUUUAAUUGUACUUAUAAUGGCUUGUAUCUAUAGCUUGUUGUAAAUCUGCUUAUUUGAUGAAAUUUAACUUUCUUGUUCUUUUGAGUCUGUAUUGAAAGUCGCUUUGGAUGAAAGUGUCAGCUAAAUCACAUGUAAUGUAAUGUAUUACAUUGCAACUUUUAUGUCGAGAUAGGUCGGUUCUUGGAGAAAUCAACCAGUUAUCUAUGUUUAAAGUUUCAAAUCUGCCAGAAUCUGUCAAAAUGUAACCUAUUUUAUUCUUGAACCAGUGCUGAAAAUACAAUAAUAACCAUAUCUUUACAUAGUAUCCACACUUUAAACCGUAAUAAUUUAGCUUGAUGCCAUGCUUGGUGAGUAUUAGCGUGGUAAUUCAUGCCUCAGCAUUCUCUUGUGUGCUUCUUUACUUAUACUUAUACACUGUCAUAACCACAAAACACUUUCCCUGCCGCAUGCCAUUAGCCCAUAUACUAAUUUUUAAAAAGGAAACUACACAAUAAUAGACUAUUAGUGCUCCCUUGAAUCCGUACCUCCCUCCAGCACAUCUCCCUUACUUAGCAUCAAAGUGUUCUUGAACUUUUCAUAGUCCUCCCUGCUUGUUUUCCGACAUCAUAUUUAAAAAGGGCCUUGACAUUAGAGAAUUUAUACUAUUCAUAUCAGUGAAUGCUUGUUCAGACGGAGUAAUGUUGACAGAUCUGAUUAAAUCAGAAAACCAUGAAGACUGCUACCUUUACAAUGAUUUCCAGCUGUGGAUGCUCUGACAUGAUGGCUAUGUCACAGAAAAUGAGUGCGUUUACAGUCCUACUAAUGUCAUCAUUCUUAACAGAUGUCAAAUUAUGUCAGUUAAUGUUUUAUGUCUUUUAGCUGUCGUCACUGGCUUGUCUUGUUCAGUAAAAAAACAACCAGAUUUGAUUUAUAAUGAUAUAUUGUAGAAUAUUUUAGCAAAUCUUGACAUUAUUUCAUUGAUUCAUCUGAAAAUAAUUUUAUAGAAGGCAAAGGUAAUUUACUUAAGAGAAAUUAAUCGAUUAAAGAACUUGCUUGCUUGAAUAUCGCUCAAUAAUAUUUUGUGUUGAAACAAAAACCUUUUUUGGCCUUUCAUUAUCAUAUCACAUAAUGGUUACCUGACCAUCCUAAAAGGCAAUUUCAAUGGGACCAAAUAUGUUGUUAUCUAGUGACUUGACGGAUGGGGUUCUUAACCUUUUUGACGCUGGGGCUAGGGCUGCGGUGUACUAGUUCGAACGGUAUAACAUUUCCGUACGGUAUGAAUCUCGUACUGUUCAUACCGGUGUUACGAUAACAACUGACGUUGGUCUUCGGCAAGUUUUUUUUUAGGCGUCAUCACAGAGCGCCUUGCGGCCGGCGCUACUUGUUUUAUGUGUGUUGAGAUUGAAUCAUGGUUAUAACUUUAUAACAACAAUGAUUAACCAACAAACACUCUUCAACGGGGUAAAACACCACAACACAGCUUUUGACACAUAAACAAUUUGUAACACAUAAUUGUAUAUUUAUAAAAAUUACCCCGCCGAACCCGUUGCUGGGUACAGCUCACAACAACAAGUAACUGUUGCUAAAUGAAAACACGGAAAAAAGCAAAACAGGAAGAACAAGAGACCAGAAAUGCACCAACACAACUUGUGCCCAAGAAAAGAGCGGUGUUUGUUUGGAGAGUUUUUGGUGUUGGAAAAUCUGACGUAAGUUAGCUCAGAAAACGAUUUAUUGCAAAGUCUGUUGAGUCUCUGGUGGCAACACCAGCAGCCACAACAAGCUAACACGCUAACUAGCUAACGAGCUAACUCGCUUAAACGCUAACAAGUUGCUAGCAAGCAGAGGCCAACAGUUGUUUGGAUGGCAAACAGCUGUUUGCAGCCACAACAAGCUAACACGCUAACUCGCAAACACGAUAACAAGAUAACUCGCCAGUUAUAAGCUAAUUCGCCGGCCAGUUGCGAGCAAGUUGGCCAGCGGGCGGCCCGGUCAAUAAAUUAAUGUGUUUACUUGACAAAGGAAUACCGUGAUAUACCGGGAUAUCGUCAGAAUCUUUCUUAAUACCCUGAUAUCGAUUUUUGGCCAUACCGUGCAGCCCUACCUGGAGCCCAUUACAAUAUUAACACUGUAUUUGUUUCUACUAAUUGAGCUCACUCUUGGUUUGCUUUGUAUUCAAUAACUAAAUCCAAUCGGCAUAGCUUGACAAGCAAAAACCUUCAAAUGAAGGACAUAAUAGAAUGUGACAUUGAUAUAUAAUAUCAUGUUUGACUGUUUAUUUAAGGAGAAUAAACCUUCUAUUUUGCUUUGGAAUCUGGCGGUGACAUUACUUUAGCACGGCCCCACCCUAGCUGGCCGUAGGACCCCCCUCCCGGUGAUGCUACAAUGGCUGAUUGCCAAAUUUAAUUUAAUUUACAUUUAUCAGUCUUUGAAACCGAAAUAACAUAAUGAGAACCAUUGUUCUCAUCAUGUAUCUUAUCUUCAUUAUAUGAAUAUCUUCAUUUUGAAGGAUGUUCUCUCUUUUUUGUGAAGCCAUCAUUCUUGCACACCCACACACACUCACACACGCGUUGAGUUCCCUGUGUGGUUUUACUAAUGCUAUCUUGAGAUCAAAGCAGCGGGGCUGGCUUUUAAAACUCAAGUGGUCCAAUUUUAUUCAGAGGCAGAGAGCCUGAGCAGGCUAAUCCACACAGUCUGAUGAGAUUUCAGCCGCAAUAAUUUAUGGAAGGAAUAGGUAAAGGAGGCGGCGGGGUGAAAAAUGAGAAGAAGAAAAGGAGAAGGAGGAGGAGAGGGAAUGAGUUAGGAAAGGGUGACAAGGGAGAUGGAGAGAAGAAGGGGAAGUUGGACAAGUGAAAUAAAUGGGGACAGAAAAGGAGCUCUCUAUUUAUAACGGGUUGAUUUACAUUAUGCUCAUUUUGUAAUCCCUCUCAGAAUCUUUGUCCUCUUGUCUCCUGGGAUCACACUCCAUCUCCCCUCUGUCCUUCUCCUCGUGUUUUUGAGUAAUCUUUCACAUACAGAGGCAUGUAUAUGGGACAAAACACAUCCCUGUAAUUUAUCCUUAUUCCUUCUCCUCCUCCGCCAAGACAUCCAUUUGUCAGCUGCCUCCUCAUCUUUAAAACGCAUCCGUUUUCUGUUUUUGAUGUUGCUUCAUUGCAAAAGGAGGCAAUUUGCCAAAAAAAUUGAAAAAGAUUAAAUGGGAGUUGAUGUCGUGAUGACUCAGGGGGUUCAACUAUAUUUUCACACCAUCAGAUCUGACUCAUGAUUUCCUCAGCUUGUCAUCUCCCUCUCUGCCAUUACUCUCUCUAAUGGCUGUAAUAAAAAUGUUUGAGAGAUUGUUUGAAGACAUGCAGUGUAAUUUAUUUUUAAGCUUAUGUUUGAAUACAGCAAUUCUGGGAUAUUAUUUUUAUUCUAUUUUAAAGCUGGAUUAACUUCUCCCUCUGUGCUGACCUGAACAUGUUUUUUUCCCCGUUUGCUUUAUUAAAUGACCAUUUGACCAGGUGUCAGUUACUGACUUUUAUUUCAUAAAGAUAAUAUUUGUGAGCUUUUUUUAUAGUCUACCGUUGGAUUUGAGAGCUACAGAAAUAAAGGAAGUUACAAAAAAAAAUAGACCACUAUUAUUCGCGUUUUAUUUCAUUGUGCGAUAGAAAACCAAGGUUAAAAAGUAAAAAGGUUUUCAAAAUUUUACUUUAAUGGUUCAUGAAACUGCUAGAUUCUGCUAGAAGGUAAUAAGGCAAAGACAUGUCUGAUGUUAUUGCUCACUGAAGUUGUCGCGGAAAUUAUUUACAUUUGUACAGUAAAUCCUUUUUCUUCUUUUUCAGUUAUCAGGAAUAUCUGAGCUGGCAACCGGAUGACUCAAAGGUAAGUUAAUGACUAUAUCAUUUUAUGUAAAUAUUUCCAAACAAACUAUUUGAACUUGUCUGGCUUUGGGUCAGAACAGUUUAACUGUGAAAAAUCAGAAGAAUCAGAAGAAACACGUGCAGGCUUCUAAUACAAUCUUUGUCUGCACAUACAAGGGGGGAAGUCUGGCUCAAAUGGAAAAUAAGAUUAUAUGGCUUGAAUGUUGGAGAAAUGUUUUGAAAGGGAAAUGUCAUAAAGUGACAAUUACCAAAGCAACAAAGCAUAAUUGUUCAAUGGGCUCAAGUGAGGGAGCAUUUUAGGGUCGGGCUCGCCGGGUGCAGAUUAGCUGGACAAUCAACCAGGCUCGGGCGAUUUAAGACACAGGUUUUUACAUAUGACUGCCGUCAGUCCUACGUCGGUCUGAAUAAUCGAACGCUUAACACAUCCGAUUAGAGUGGAAAUUAUCUGGGGGUGGAAUGGCAGUAAUGACGCAGCAUCCUCUAUCAAUGGAUCCACCGCAGUCUGCUAUCUUUAAGAUAAAGUGCAGCAAUUCAUCCGCACGGCUGUGGGAUUGAAACAGACCACAGAUAAGGAGCGGGGUGUCCUUUGCAAAACAACUCGCCGCAGGUUAAAUACUGACUUUUUAAGACAAGUUGAUGCAGUGAAAUCCCACUUGAGGGGGAGAUACUCAUUGUGGCAGUUUAGCCAAUUACAGCUGUGACUGAGUUUUACAAACAAAACUCACAUAACAUAUGUCGAUUUAACAGUGACAUUGUGGAACGUAUCCAACUGCCUUGAUUGAUAGCAUGCGUUAUUUCAUUAGUUCAGGUACAUUGUUUGUUUUUGCAAUAGUUAGUAAGCAGCUGUGCGUGAAUAAAAUACCGGAUAUUGGGCCAAUACUUACUCAAUAUAAUAGCUGGAUUGGGCCACGUCAGGCAUCAGGGAACAAAUUUCAACAUAAUUGCGAUACCUAUUAAUUCUGAAUUAAGUUGCUGAUCCACUACGGCUUCAAGAGAAUGAAGCAUGAGGUAUAUCAAUCAAACACUGGAAUCGAGUUGGUACCAAAAAUCAGGUAACUGGACUGAAAGCCUUUGAUAGGUGAAUGUGGUAUGUUUUGCCUAAAGCUACCCUCUUUUGAAGAUGGAUGUCUACUUUGAAAUUUACCCUCUAUCCCUCACACGCUCAGAAAUCAACCUGGACCGUCGCUGUUCAGAGUGUAAGACCGCUGGCCAAGCCCCGGUAUCUGAUUAGCAGUGAGAACGUGUUGGGGAGGCUGUUAUUAACAGUCUACCCAAUAAUCUACUGGCACUGCAGGAUGCUCGGAGUUAAAAUGUAUGAAACAGAGCAAGCAGCAGCUCAUCAGUGUACCAACUUGGCUCGAUGCCGCAUCGGGAUGAUGUUCUUCUUCAGUCACAUCUACAUUGUAAGUCAGGCAUGUCGGACACAUCUGUGUCAGCUAAAUAUGGCGCUGCUGUUGUAAUUGUGAUUAAUGUGAUUAUUAUUAAUGAGCUACUGUCCCUUCUGUUUUUAGAAGAGCAUGAAGGACUUAAUUUGACAAGUACAUCUCGCACGCACAUGGAGUUUGCAUCUUACUUUACCGACAUCAACCGCAGUUGUUUUGGCUUGACUCUUAGUUCACAUUAAAAGACAAUGGAAGAGCUUGUACCAUGAUUGUAAUGAUGGAUGUUCAGUACCCUGAAUUUAUGCACCUAAAUCACUGCAGUAAAAUGAUUGCUUUGUAUUUCUGACUAGCUUCACUACAGCAUGACAAAUGCUCAGUUUAGUAGUGGAAAAGGUCGGGUUGUUGCAACGAAGGCACACUAUACUCUGUAUAUAGUUGUACUGAGCUCUGUGGCGUUAAGGGUUUUACAACAAUCCAAUGCCGAGCCGUGAUCCUAUGAUGGAAGGCAGCUGGGUAGACCAGGCAGGUGUUGAGGAAGAAGUGUAAUGAGGGGAAUACCCACAAGCACACAGGCGGUACGGCCAGGUUGUGAUAUCCAUUAUGCCCUCAUUUUGCCUAACUAAUGAACAGCAUAUUUUCUCCUUAUAGUCAAAUGAUUUUGUGCCAGUAUAUUGACAUCAGCAAAAGCGAAUAUCUCAACAUCCCCUAUAGUUUCUGUUUCAAAAAGCCUUGCAGCCUCUUUCUGUAGACUGUCAAUUAUUUUAUUUAAAGGAUAUUGGCGCCCUUCUGAAAAGGUCAUCAUCUUGCAUAGGUCCUUCAACCCUUUUGCUUUCUAAAAUAUCUAUAAAUGGCAUUCUUUAAGGCCAUUAUGAUUGUUUGGGUAUAUAUGAAAAUGAAACAGCAGUAGUGAGGGGAUGUUUCCUGCGUGAGAAGCACAGCCACUGGCUGCUCAGGCCCGUUGGUCCACACGACCACAUGACUACAGUGGCUCAUCAGUCACCGGGCAGUCAAACCUGUUCAUGAUUCAGCAGCCAGCGAGUUCAAACUCUGCUGCUUGAUGAGUGUCAAAACACAACCCCUCUGCUUCUAAAUAAAACAGCUGAAGGAAGCAAUAGAGCAUCUCUUUACUGCCACCACUAAGGUCCUUAAGCUCACCUCCCCCACUCUCUGUGCCGCUAACCCAACUUCAAACACUGUUUAUAUGAGCAACGGUAAGUAAAGCAUCCUCGUCACACGUCGCCUUUGUUUCUUUCCAACCCUGGACUUGACCGUAUGUACCCCGUAAGCGCCCACACCGUUCAUUUAUAUGCAUGUGCGGGAUGUGGUGGGCAGGCGUAGGUGUCCAUGUAUAUGUGCUUAAAGAAUGGUCGAUAUAUAUACUCACAAAUGUGCUUACUAUGUGUUUGAGUGUUUUGACGACUAUCACUUUCUGCCAUGUUAUGAGCAGAGUAGCUUCAGCUCAGACAGAUGCCAAAGGGUGUGUAUUAAAGACACCGCUUGUGAAAGAAAAGGAGCUAAAUAGGGUGCUUGAGAAAUUGAUGAGAACUGAGCCUCAUAUGAGACAGUGUGGAGGAGACUAAAUCGCUCCACUCUCAAAUCCGUCCAUUUCAUCCUGCAUUGACAGCAAUGCGAAAGAUUCAUUUCAAAGAAUGGCAGGAGCUCUGUCAGGCUCGCUCAACCUGCAAUUCAUCAAGUUACUUUUUGUAAACAAGGUUGUUACAAUGGAGAUUUUUUUUUUGUAGUUUAUCCUUGUAUGUAAAAUGCUCCCAGACUACACAGUUCACAGGUAACAAUCCUUCUGGUCAACAUACAAGCAAUGAUUGAGAAGCAAGCCUGAAACAUGAACAUAUACAUUCAUCCAACGGCAGCUGGAGUCCUUGAACAUUUGUGCUUAUAGAUGCGGUCGUGAGGGGAGGGAAACAAUUUAUUCACAGUUAAGUUGCUUAGUGGGACCAGAGGGAAAUACUUAAAGAGGAAACAGAUGGAUGAUAUGCUGCUCCAUUGCACCGAUACGUAAGUACCAAAUUGGGCUCUGCUCUUGCCUACGAGUAGUUGAUUUAUUCAUUUAGCACUGUAUUACAGUUUGUUUACAAAGGCCUUCAUAGAAAGUGAAGAAACUAAUCAAACCUCCUGAAAUAAAAAACAAAAAAAAGGUUUUCUGAAGUACCACAUUUACUCUACAGCCACUUAAUGGUUUCCUCUUUUUGAAAUUUACACUGACUCAUAUUAUACUAGUUAUAUUAUACUAAAACGUUGGUAAAGCGACUCUUCCAAGUGGACAUACAGAAAUAGCAUUAGAUAGCAGACCUGUUCACCUGCAAAGUAAACUGCCAGCUCGAGCAUAUGGUAGAAUACUAUAAAGCAGCUCUUUGUUGGGUUGAACUAUUCACUUUGGAUUUGGCUAUGUUAAAGUUCAAAUGUAGCUCAGUUGGAAUGUAAUAGUGGUGAAGGAAAUACUUUGCACCUUUAGCCAGUUUUGACAUUAUGAUAAGAUUUACUUGAUUGUGCACUGUGGGGAAUAUAAAACAUGUGCAAUCUCCUUUAAAACAACCAAUAAACAAAAUAUUAUACAGUUCCACACCCAAGGUGAGGAAACAGGAGUGCAGACACUUGUGUUUCUGUUUGCUGCACUUGAGUUACCGUUAGGUCAUAGCAUUCCUAGGAAGGGUCUAACUAACUGUUGACUUUACCUCGAUCAAAGCAGCACCAACCGGUUUGCUUUGAUCUCAUCAUCAAACAGGAAAAUUCCCUCAAAUUUGGUCGCCAGUGGAAGUUAAGGUUAUUGGGUUUGAUAAACCCUGAUAUAUUUUCACACUGUAACAAACUAAACUAUGUUUCGGUUAAGUUAUUUCCUCUUUGUCUCUUGUUCCAAAUAUAUAAAUACAUUAUUUAUUGUCAAAGAGAUUCCUGUUGUCUUUUUUUGUAGAUGAUAACAGAAAAGUCUCUCCUGAGACAUUUUUCCCUGAAUGUGCAGCACAUAAAUAGCUCAGUUCUCAAGAUGAAUUGCCUCUUUUCUCGUAACUUUAAAGGGAAACUUCAAGCCUUCAAUAUUCUCCCUUCAUACGAUGUUUGGUUGAGUUCCAGUAAGACAGUCCCAGCACUGUUCCCUUGAAUGGAUUCCAGUGGAUUUAUUUUAAGUCCAUAAAGUUUGUUGUGCUGCCGUUUGAAGUUUGUUUUAAACUCAUCCCGGUGUGAGUUGGCAGAUGCUGUGUGUUCUUCUUGGGGUAAAGGGACUUUUCCACUUUUUCAUUUUUAAAGAGCCAAACCUGUCAAUAAAGUAUGGUUUCCAAUCUAGAACAAUAAGACAGCUAUAAAACACCCUGAUUAUGGUUUUUUUCACUUAUCAGCAUAUCAUAUUGACUUUUCUUCAGGCCAUUUGGGCCGCUUAUUC